rnacentral:rRNA from 1 species
AGUGAACGCUGGCGGUAGGCCUAACACAUGCAAGUCGAACGGCAGCACAGUAAGCGCUUGCUCUUACGGGUGGCGAGUGGCGGACGGGUGAGGAAUACAUCGGAAUCUACUUUUUCGUGGGGGAUAACGUAGGGAAACUUACGCUAAUACCGCAUACGUCCUACGGGUGAAAGCAGGGGAUCUUCGGACCUUGCGCGAUUGAAUGAGCCGAUGUCGGAUUAGCUAGUUGGCGGGGUAAAGGCCCACCAAGGCGACGAUCCGUAGCUGGUCUGAGAGGAUGAUCGGCCACACUGGAACUGAGACACGGUCCAGACUCCUACGGGAGGCAGCAGUGGGGAAUAUUGGACAAUGGGCGAAAGCCUGAUCCAGCCAUACCGCGUGGGUGAAGAAGGCCUUCGGGUUGUAAAGCCCUUUUGUUGGGAAAGAAAAGCAGCAGGUUAAUACCCCGCUGUUCUGACGGUACCCAAAGAAUAAGCACCGGCUAACUUCGUG